rnacentral:lncRNA from 13 species
GUGGGAUGGUGAGAAACUGGGAAUUUCCAGUUAGGAUGGUGAGAAAAGCGGGGAUUUCCUGGUGGGAUGGCGAGAAAAGUGGGAAUUUUCCAGUGGGAUGGUGAGAAAAGCGGGAAUUUCCCAGUGGGAUGGUGAGAAACUGGGAAUUUCCAGCUGGGAGAGUGAGAAAAUGGGAAUUUCUCAGUGGGAUGGGAAAGAAAGCAGGAAUUUCCCGGUGGGAUGGCAAGAAAAUGGGGAAUUUCGAGGUGAAAUGGGAAGAAAACUGGGAAUUUCUAGGCGGGAUGGGAAGAAAAUGGGGAAUUCCAGGGGGGGUGGAGAGAAACUGGGGAGUUUUCCAGUGGAGAGGAAAAGAAACUGGGAAUUUUCAGGUGGGAAGGCAAGAAAAGUGGGAAUUUCCAGUUGGGAUGGUGAGAAAACUGGGAAUUUCCCAGUGGAAUGGGUUAUCCCGGCCAUUCCCAUGGUUUAUCCCGGCCAUUCCCAUGGGUUAUCCCGGCCAUUCCCGUGGGUUAUCCCGGCCAUUCCCAUGGUUUAUCCCGACCAUUCCCAUGGUUUAUCCCGGCCAUUCCCAUGGGUUAUCCCAACCAUUCCCAUGGUUUAUCCCGGCCGUUCCCAUGGGUUAUCCCAACCAUUCCCAUGGGUUAUCCCGGCCAUUCCCAUGGUUUAUCCCAACCAUUCCCGUGGGUUAUCCCAACCAUUCCCAUGGGUUAUCCCAACCAUUCCCAUGGGUUAUCCCGGCCAUUCCCAUGGGUUAUCCCAACCAUUCCCGUGGUUUAUCCCGGCCAUUCCCAUGGUUUAUCCCGGCCAUUCCCAUGGGUUAUCCCGGCCAUUCCCAUGGGUUAUCCCAACCAUUCCCAUGGGUUAUCCCGGCCAUUCCCAUAGUUUAUCCCGGCCAUUCCCAUGGGUUAUCCC